CGUGGAGCGAAAUCCACCAAAAAUAACUUAUGUGAAUAUUUUCUCUCAUUCAACAGGAUCAGGAAGAAGUUCAAUACAUCCGGUGCUUGGCCCACUACCAACGGUAACUUCAGCAAUCCGGACAGGUGCCCAUCAAUGUGCCCCCGAAGGACAUAGUUAUUCCGAUGCCUCCGCUUUCUCAGACCAUUCCGGAUCUUCCGCCAGGGACCAGGGGAAUAAACCAAAUAUAUGGAGCUGACAAGACUUUCAAAUUGAUUGCGUCGGAGAAUCAGUUCGACCAGUUUUGCACCGUCGGUGCAGGGAUCGGUUCCGAUCCGCGCUACAAGAUGGUUUACUCCACUAGGGUGCCCUGCUCUGUGGAGAAGCUGGGCUUGCCGAUGGCGAUUUUUCCGGCGAAAGGGAUACCAAUUUCAAGAAGCUGGAGAAACGCGGCGUGAUUUGUGAUUACCACAGCCCAUGGGACACAUUUGCCUAUGUGCAAGGGAAAUUAUCGACCACCAAGGGAGUUGAACUAGAACACUGUUUAUCAUUAUGGGACGAUGAAGGAUCUUCGUCAGCUUGUUUGGCUCGAAUGGAUCUAAUUCCAGCGACGACAGUGAAAAGGGUCAACGAGUUUGGAUUUGCUGAUCGAACUGUACUAACCGUUUAAUUGGCUGCUUUUAGGAAAUAAGCACAUUUUGUAUUUAUCAAUACCUUCAGAUCAAAAGUUCAUCCAUCAACGACCUCUUGGGCCAUACUUCCAUGACGUAUCUAUUAAUCAUGUAAAUAAUUAUAAAGAAAAUAAAGAAAAUAUAAAAGAUCAACGUA
rnacentral:lncRNA from 1 species